rnacentral:rRNA from 1 species
CAGCCGUAAACUAUGCGCGUUAGGUGUACUGGUGACCACGAGUCACCGGGGUGCCGAAGGGAAACCGUGAAACGUGCCGCCUGGGAAGUACGGUCGCAAGGCUGAAACUUAAAGGAAUUGGCGGGGGAGUACCACAACGGGUGGAGCCUGCGGUUUAAUUGGACUCAACGCCGGAAAUCUCACCGGAUAGGACAGACAUAUGAUAGUCGGGCUGAAGACUCUACUUGAUGAUCUGAGAGGAGGUGCAUGGCGUCAGUGACU